rnacentral:pre_miRNA from 1 species
GAGACACCCUUAUGGGGCAAAACUUGCUUCAGUGGGGCUUUGGUGCUCACUGAGUCUUCCCCCUGAGUGUGUCCCU